rnacentral:ncRNA from 2 species
UUCUGGGAGGCUUGACAGAUUGAAAGUUCUUUCUUUAUUCGGUGGAUGGUGGUGCAUGUCCGUGCUUCGUUGGUGGAGUGAUUUGUCUGGUUAACUCCGAUAACGAGCGAAACUCUAGCCUAUUAAAUAGGUGCGUGGUUCUUUGGACGUCGCACCCUUUUUAGAGGGACAAGCGGCUCCUAGCCGCACGAAACAGAGCAAUAACAGGUCUGUGAUAUCCUUAGAU